UACGGGGGGUGCGAGCGUUGUCCGGAAUCAUUGGGCGUAAAGAGCGUGUAGGCGGCUCGAUAAGUCUGCUGUGAAAGUCCAGGGCUCAACCCUGGAAGGCCGGUGGAAACAGUCGGGCUAGAGUCCGGAAGAGGCGAGUGGAAUUCCCGGUGUAGCGGUGAAAUGCGCAGAUAUCGGGAGGAACACCAAUUGCGAAGGCAGCUCGCUGGGACGUUACUGACGCUGAGACGCGAAAGCGUGGGGAGCAAACAGG
rnacentral:rRNA from 1 species